rnacentral:rRNA from 1 species
GGAUUAGAUACCCUGGUAGUCCACGCUGUAAACGCUGAGAACUAGACGUGUGCUUUUUGAGGAGUGCGUGUCGCAGCUAACGUAGUAAGUUCUCCGCCUGGGGAUUACGGUCGCAAGAUUAAAACUCAAAGGAAUUGACGGGGGCCCGCACAAGCGGUGGAGCAUGUGGUUUAAUUCGAUGCAACGCGAAGAACCUUACCUACUCUUGACAUCCUGUGGAGCUUGCUGAGAAGCGAGUGUGCCGAAAGGAACGCAGAGACAGGUGCUGCAUGGCUGUCGUCAGCUCGUGUUG